ensembl:lncRNA
GGAACAUUUUUAUGUUUUUAAAUUGCAUAACUUCUGGGUGGAGUAUUUUCCCCCCUCAAGUGUCUCAAAAUAGUACAUUUUCAUUCUCAGUGCAUAGUGUAAGGUGGAAAGCAAACAAGUUGGUGGGAAGGUAGACGAGCAUUACCUCUGCUGCUCCAACUCUCUGUUCACAAGUCAGUGUGGGAACAGGUAGCCAUCUCCAUGACUGCAUGGAAAAAGAGAAAACCAAAGCAGGAGGAAGACACACUGUCCAAGACCACAGAUUCACAUGCUGGGAGACGGAAAGGGAAAACCUGAGAAUAGUUUAGGAGGAGAUACAUGGAGCAGUGUAAUAGUUAUAAUAUUAAAGCUAUGCACCUCUAAAAGCCACAAAGAGGCACUACAAGAGGUAAAAUGAUUAAGAACAACUACAAAGAAACCAGAAACUCAAUUCCUUUUUGCAGAAGGAAAGAAACAUAAAAAGGUGAGAAAAAUAGACAUUGGCUAACCACAGCAGUUUGGUGCACGGUGCAUGCAAGUAUACCCGCAGAGAAUGAUCAAUGCAGCUUUCAUCCUGUUCCUGUUUUAGCGUAUUUUCACACAUUCUUUUGUUUUUUUUUACAGCCCACAACUUUACUGUUUUAAUUCACUCUCAAUGCUCUCAUAGCAUUGUUUUUUGCCACAGCAGGCAGCUGUUUUCAGUGAAAAAGCUCUAAAAACCUGGAACCAGAUGAAGCUGCGAGCUCAUGUUUUAUUUGCUCUGGCAGAUGCGUGUGCCCCCUCUCAGUUCAGACAGAUUUCCACCUGACCUGGAUCUGGUUGGGCCAAUCACAACCGUUUAUCUAAUAUGGGGCGGGUUUGAUACAAUGAGUGUAUAGUGGAGCGGGAUCUUAUAUGCCAUUGAGGCAUUUUCAUAAACAACCAAGAUGGCUGCCACUGAUCUGCAACUGUGUCUGUUGAAAUCACUAUUAUAUCAGUAUCAGUAUGGUAUAUUUUCACUAAAAGAAGAAAUAACUGCACUUUGCUGUACAUCCAACAGCUAUAGGCUGUGUGCUGCCAACAAGAAGCUUCCAGGAUGUCGUAAUGGAGGAAGUUCUGUACAUUAAUGUACAAUAAAAAAAUCUAUCUACU